rnacentral:tRNA from 1 species
AUAAAAUAAAGCGAUAUUAAAUUGCAUUCAGUUUCGACCUGAAUUUAGAAAAAUUUCUAUUUUUUAAU